rnacentral:rRNA from 1 species
GCAUAUCAAUAAGCGGAGGAAAAGAAACCAACAGGGAUUGCCCUAGUAACGGCGAGUGAAGCGGCAACAGCUCAAAUUUGAAAUCUGGCUCUCGGGCCCGAGUUGUAAUUUGUAGAGGAUACUUUUGAUGCGGUGCCUUCCGAGUUCCCUGGAACGGGACGCCAUAGAGGGUGAGAGCCCCGUCUGGUUGGAUGCCAAAUCUCUGUAAAGUUCCUUCGACGAGUCGAGUAGUUUGGGAAUGCUGCUCUAAAUGGGAGGUAUAUGUCUUCUAAAGCUAAAUACCGGCCAGAGACCGAUAGCGCACAAGUAGAGUGAUCGAAAGAUGAAAAGCACUUUGAAAAGAGAGUUAAAAAGUACGUGAAAUUGUUGAAAGGGAAGCGUUUAUGACCAGACUUGGGCUUGGUUAAUCAUCUGGGGUUCUCCCCAGUGCACUUUUCCAGUCCAGGCCAGCAUCAGUUUUCGCCGGGGGAUAAAGACUUCGGGAAUGUGGCUCUCUCCGGGGAGUGUUAUAGCCCGUUGUGUAAUACCCUGGCGGGGACUGAGGUUCGCGCAUCUGCAAGGAUGCUGGCGUAAUGGUCAUCAACGACCCGUCUUGAAACACGGACCAAGGAGUCGUCUUCGUAUGCGAGUGUUCGGGUGUCAAACCCCUACGCGUAAUGAAAGUGAACGCAGGUGAGAGCUUCGGCGCAUCAUCGACCGAUCCUGAUGUUCUCGGAUGGAUUUGAGUAAGAGCAUACGGGGCCGGACCCGAAAGAAGGUGAACUAUGCCUGUAUAGGGUGAAGCCAGAGGAAACUCUGGUGGAGGCUCGCAGCGGUUCUGACGUGCAAAUCGAUCGUCAAAUAUGGGCAUGGGGGCGAAAGACUAAUCGAACCUUCUAGUAGCUGGUUUCCGC